rnacentral:rRNA from 1 species
UAGUUGGUGGAGUGAUUUGUCUGGUUAAUUCCGUUAACGAACGAGACCUCAGCCUGCUAAAUAGUCCGACGAACACUUCUGGUGUUCGUUUCGGAGCUUCUUAGAGGGACUGUCUGCUUCCAGCAGAAGGAAGUUUGAGGCAAUAACAGG